rnacentral:snRNA from 1 species
GUGCUCACUUCGACAGCACAUAUACUAAAAUUGGAAUGAUACAGAGAAGAUUAGCAUGGCCCCUGUGCAAGGAUGACACACAAAUUCGUGAAGCAUUCUAUAUUUUU